GACUGGUCCAAAGGUAGUGAGUUAUCUCAAUUUAUUAUUUAUUUUUACACUCCAGAUUUUAUUCCCUUCCCGAUCCAAUACCUGACUGUUCCACA
rnacentral:Y_RNA from 14 species